rnacentral:tRNA from 1 species
GCGUUGAACGCCUUGAAGGUAGGGCACCGGGCUGUAACCCCGAGGUCGGCUAGUUCCGAGUUGGUUCGAUCCCAACUCAACGCACCA